rnacentral:lncRNA from 1 species
CGGGUGAAGGAACUGUAGCUUCAGCCUUCUUCACAUUGUUGACAGGCACGGGUGAAGGAACCGUAGCAUCAGCCUUCUUCACAUUGUUGACAGGCCCAGGUGAAGGAACCGUAGCUUCAGCCUUCUUCACAUUGUUGACAGGCCCGGGUGAAGGAACCGUAGCUUCAGCCUUCUUCACAUUGUUGACAGGCACAGGUGAAGGAACCGUAGCUUCAGCCUUCUUCACAUUGUUGACAUGCCUCGCUGAAGGAACGGUAGGUUCAGCCUUCUUCACAUUGUUGGCAGACACAGCUGAAGGGGCCGUGGCUUCAGUCUUCUUUACAUUGUUGGCAG